rnacentral:rRNA from 1 species
CGGACGGGUGAGUAACGCGUGAGAACCUACCUUCAGAAUGGGGACAACAGUUGGAAACGACUGCUAAUACCCAAUGUGCCGAAAGGUGAAAGAUUUAUCGUCUGAAGAUGGGCUCGCGGCUGAUUAGCUAGUUGGUGGUGUAAGAGACUCCCAAGGCAACGAUCAGUAGCUGGUCUGAGAGGAUGAGCAGCCACACUGGAACUGAGAAACGGUCCAGACUCCUACGGGAGGCAGCAGUGGGGAAUUUUCCGCAAUGGGCGAAAGCCUGACGGAGCAAUACCGCGUGAGGGAGGAAGGUUCUUGGAUUGUAAACCUCUUUUCUUAGGGAAGAAGUACUGACGGUACCUAAGGAAUAAGCAUCGGCUAACUCCGUGCCAGCAGCCGCGGUAAUACGGAGGAUGCAAGCGUUAUCCGGAAUUAUUGGGCGUAAAGCGUCCGUAGGUGGUGUUUCAAGUCUGCCGUCAAAGCAUGGAGCUUAACUCCAUAAAGGCGGUGGAAACUGAGAGACUAGAGUACAGUAGGGGUAGCAGGAAUUCCCAGUGUAGCGGUGAAAUGCGUAGAUAUUGGGAAGAACAUCGGUGGCGAAAGCGUGCUACUGGACUGAAACUGACACUGAGGGACGAAAGCUAGGGUAGCGAAAGGGAUUAGAUACCCCUGUAGUC